CACCGCGGUUAUACGAGAAGGCCCAAGUUGAUGCACGUCGGCGUAAAGGGUGGUUAAAAUAACAAAAUACACUAAAGCCGAACGCUUUCAAGACUGUUAUACGUUUACGAAAGUAAGAAGCUCAACUACAAAAGUGGCUUUAUAACAUUUGACUCCACGAAAGCUGGGAAA
rnacentral:rRNA from 2 species